rnacentral:rRNA from 1 species
CCUACGGUGGGCAGCAGUGAGGAAUAUUGGUCAAUGGACGGAAGUCUGAACCAGCCAUGCCGCGUGCAGGAAGACGGCUCUAUGAGUUGUAAACUGCUUUUGUACAAGGGUAAACCUGAAUACGUGUAUUCAGCUGAAAGUACUGUACGAAUAAGGCUCGGCUACCUCCGUGCCAGCAGCCGCGGUAAUCCGGAGGAUCCAAGCGUUCUCCGGAUUUGUUGGGUUUAACGGGUGCGUAGGCGGAUUGAUAAGUUAGAGGUGAAAUGUCCGAGCGUAACGCGGGAAGUGCUGCUAAUACUGUUGAGCGAGAGAGUAGAAGCAGUAGGCGGAAUGUAUGGUGUAGCGGUGAAAUGCUUAGAGAUCAUACAGAACACCGAUUGCGAAGGCAGCUUACCAAUCUAUAUCUGACGUUGAGGCACGAAAGCGUGGGGAGCAAACAGGAUUAGAUACCCCAGUAGUC